rnacentral:tRNA from 1 species
GCCUGGCUGGCUAAGUCAGUAGAGCAUGUGACUCUUGAUCUUGAGGUCAUGAGUUUGAGCCCCAUGUUGGGCA